GAUGAACGCUAGCGGCAGGCCUAAUACAUGCAAGUCGAACGGGAUCUGAGGGUAGCUUGCUACCCGAUUUGAGAGUGGCGCACGGGUGCGUAACGCGUGAGCAACCUACCCAUAUCAGGGGGAUAGCCCGAAGAAAUUCGGAUUAACACCGCGUAAUAAUACGCUAACACAUGUUGAUGUAUUUAAAUAUUUAUAGGAUAUGGAUGGGCUCGCGUGACAUUAGCUAGUUGGUAAGGUAACGGCUUACCAAGGCGACGAUGUCUAGGGGCUCUGAGAGGAGAAUCCCCCACACUGGUACUGAGACCCGGACCAGACUCCUACGGGAGGCAGCAGUAAGGAAUAUUGGUCAAUGGGCGCAAGCCUGAACCAGCCAUGCCGCGUGCAGGAUGACUGCCCUAUGGGUUGUAAACUGCUUUUGUUAGGGAAUAAACCUUCUACGUGUAAGGAGCUGAAUGUACCUAAAGAAUAAGGAUCGGCUAACUCCGUGCCAGCCGCCGCGGUAA
rnacentral:rRNA from 1 species